AAGGGAGUCUUUGGAGCCCCGCUGGGGCCAUCCUUCACAUGGUCAGCCCUGCCCCGGAGUCCUGCGGGGCCCAGGGCAUGGGAAGGAAGCAGCUGUCAAGGGGCUGGGUCUGAGAGUGAUCACAAGAUGACAUAGCUAAAAAAGCUUCACUUUAAGAGCAGCCUGGAGCCUACUCAACAAUCUUGGAAUGAAAGGACUAUUGCCCGGAGAAGGGUGGAUGAUCACCCCUUCCCCUACCCAGAGACUUCUCUGAAGAAUCCCAGAAGAAAUCAGGUGGAGUGAGAGAGAUGGGGGCCUCAGAAAUUUUCAUGUAGCUUGAACUCAAGCCUUGCAUUUCAAGGGCACUGAAGACCUCCUCGAAUCGUCUCCAGCCUCAGGAACAAUCUGACAGAGAGUGCCUCAGAUCGGCUGCAGCUGGUCCUGACCCGACGACUUCUGGCUUCGCGGAAGGAGUUGUUUAUCACUCACGAGUUAUGAGCGGUACCCUAGGCAGCUGGGAGGUGCUUUAGACAUCGGACACAGUGUGAACAGCCACCCCACAGAUCAGCUGAUAAUUCUGACCUUGGGUCAAACCAGACUGCGCUUCGGCCUCUUCCUUUAGAGUUUGUAUUUUAAUGACUUGAAAUCCCCUUUGGGUUAUCUACACUGCUCUCUCUUGAUAGAAAGAAAGAAGUGUCGGUAGCCUCCUUUCCAUGGAGUGUGACUCAACUGUCACAGAGCAGCAAGUGGCCCAUCAGACGCUAUUCUCAGUGACUCCAAAAGGCAUCCCUAGGAAUCACUUCUAAGAAGCAGGAAAACCUGUGUGGGGGUGGAUCUCUCCCCCAGCCCCAGCAAGCUCUUCCUCAUCCCUGUAAGCUUCUGAUAGGGCCAGAUGAUUUUUGGUUUGGGACAGUGUCCCUCCACUCUUUCUCUGGAACAUACCUUCUCUUUAGUGGGCUCACAUUACCUAGGCUAUGUUGACAAGCCCUACUUCCCCAUGCUGGGUAGAUCACUAUUAAAAAUCACUUAUACAACACCA